GGUCUGAUAGUCUAGUGGUAAUAACAAAUGACUUAAAAUAGUUGUGUUAUCUGGAGGUCUGGGGUUCAAUUCCCGGGACCA